CACGGGGGGGGCAAGCGUUGUUCGGAAUUACUGGGCGUAAAGGGCUCGUAGGCGGCCAACUAAGUCAGACGUGAAAUCCCCAGGCUCAACCUGGGAACUGCGUCUGAUACUGGAUGGCUUGAAUCCGGGAGAGGGAUGCAGAAUCCCAGGUGUAGCGGUGAAAUGCGUAGAUAUCUGGAGGAAUACCGGUGGCGAAGGCGGCAUCCUGGACCGGCAUUGACGCUGAGGAGCGAAAGCUAGGGGAGCAAACGGG
rnacentral:rRNA from 1 species